rnacentral:rRNA from 1 species
GAUGAACGCUGACAGAAUGCUUAACACAUGCAAGUCAACUGUGGCGGACGGGUGAGUAACGCGUAAAGAACUUGCCUCUCAGCUAGGGACAACAUUUGGAAACGAAUGCUAAUACCUGAUACUGUGAGAGAGCUUUGCGUCCCAUUAGCUCGUUGGAGAGGUACCGGCUCACCAAGGCGAUGAUGGGUAGCCGGCCUGUGAGGGUGAUCGGGCACAAGGGGACUGGGGCACGGCCCGUAGGCAUACGGGAGGCAGGAGUGGGGAAUAGAUGAAAAUGGACCAAAGUCUGAUCAAGCAAUUCGGUGUGCAAAAUGAAGUUGUCGGAAGGAAAAGUGCUUUCAGUAGGGAAGCGGUACCAACAGAAGAAGCAACGGCUAAAUACGUGUCAGCAGCCGCGGUAAUAC